rnacentral:rRNA from 1 species
GUAGGUGGGCAAGCGUUGUCCGGAAUAUUGGGCGUAAAGCGCGCGCAGGGCGGUCCUUUAAGUCUGAUGUGAAAGCCCACGGCUCAACCGUGGAGGGUCAUUGGAAACUGGGGGACUUGAGUACAGAAGAGGAAAGCGGAAUUCCAAGUGUAGCGGUGAAAUGCGUAGAGAUUUGGAGGAACACCAGUGGCGAAGGCGGCUUUCUGGUCUGUAACUGACGCUGAGGCGCGAAAGCGUGGGGAGCAAACAGGAUUAGAUACCCUGGUAGUCCACGCCGUAAACGAUGAGUGCUAAGUGUUAGGGGGUUUCCCGCCCCUUAGUGCUGCAGCUAACGCAUUAAGCACUCCGCCUGGGGAGUACGGCCGCAAGGCUG